rnacentral:rRNA from 1 species
CAAGCCCUGGAAACGGGGUCUAAUACCGGAUACGACAUGAGGGGGCAUCUUCUCGUGUGGAAAGCUCCGGCGGUGCAGGAUGAGCCCGCGGCCUAUCAGCUUGUUGGUGGGGUAAUGGCCUACCAAGGCGACGACGGGUAGCCGGCCUGAGAGGGCGACCGGCCACACUGGGACUGAGACACGGCCCAGACUCCUACGGGAGGCAGCAGUGGGGAAUAUUGCACAAUGGGCGCAAGCCUGAUGCAGCGACGCCGCGUGAGGGAUGACGGCCUUCGGGUUGUAAACCUCUUUCAGCAGGGAAGAAGCCUUCGGGUGACGGUACCUGUAGAAGAAGCACCGGCUAACUACGUGCCAGCAGCCGCGGUAAUACGUAGGGUGCGAGCGUUGUCCGGAAUUAUUGGGCGUAAAGAGCUCGUAGGCGGUUUGUCACGUCGGAUGUGAAAGCCCGGGGCUUAACUUCGGGUCUGCAUUCGAUACGGGCAGGCUAGAGUUCGGUAGGGGAGAUCGGAAUUCCUGGUG